GCAAAAAGCAAACUCCCCACCAA
rnacentral:siRNA from 1 species